rnacentral:rRNA from 1 species
UACAGAGGGUGCGAGCGUUAAUCGGAAUUACUGGGCGUAAAGCGUGCGUAGACGGUUAUUUAAGUCGGGUGUGAAAGCCCCGGGCUCAACCUGGGAAUUGCAUUCGAGACUGAAUAGCUAGGGUACGGUAGAGGGAAGUGGAAUUUCCGGUGUAGCGGUGAAAUGCGUAGAUAUCGGAAGGAACAUCAGUGGCGAAAGCGACUUCCUGGACCAAUACUGACGCUCAUGUGCGAAAGCGUGGGGAGCCAACAGGG